UUAGAGAAGGGGCUGCGCCGCCCAGGGGAGGAUGAUAAGAGGAGGUGGUCGCUUCAGAUAAGGUGCUUCAGAUAAGGUUAUUGACCGCCAGACCCCUCAGAGAUGGUAUCUAUCUCAGGAGCUGAAGUCAGAGAGAUUGCCACAUAGAAGGGACAAAUGGCACGCUCGCCGCCAGACACAAAGCAGAACACCCCAGGCCUCCUCACUCAGAGGGCAAACUCAGACUUUCAGAUGUCCUUGCAGCCACUCAUGUCUGUCAGUGAUGCCCUCAUCAGAGCCUCCGGAGUUAUUUUGGGGACGUGAUACAGACAGCAGCCUCCAAGGACAGCGAUUCAAGCUUCCGUCGGUGUAGCAUCCUCAGCACAGACUUCUAGGCAAGUGGGACAGAUGACAUUAACGCUCGAGACAGGCUGUCCCUACUGAUCCCGCCAAUGUUUGAGCCUCCUGUGUGAGCAGUCGCCCCUGUCCACACCAGAAAUAGCAGAACCGCUGGAUCUGCUCUAAAGUUACUCGAAUUCCCAGCCAGCACCUGUCUAAUCUCACAGGAAGCCUGUGGAAUGAGUCAUGUGGAGGUCCCAUGCCCACCGAAAACACCGAGGCAAGGCAGGGCGGGCGGAUUUAUGAUGCGCUAUCAUCUGAGGAUCACGUUCUGCUCAUUAGGUCUGGCUAAGUGCUCUCAGGAAUCCCGUGAAGAGCUUUGCAGCAGAGGGAGGCAGAUAAGUGGGACGGCCUCUAAGUGAAUCCAGAUGGAGUGGCAGGCAUGCUUUGUGUCCAGAGAGGCCCCAAGACAGCACUGGAUGCCUUGAACUGGAGUUACAUCAAUUUUGAGCUGGGUGCUGGGAACAAUCACAUCACUCAGGGGCCAAAGCAGGAGGAUUGCCACGUGUUCAAGGCCAGCUUGGGCUACAGAGCUUGUCAGCAGUCCUGGGAGACCCACUGCCUCCUGGUGGUAUUUCCGGUAAGGAGUGCUGAGGCACAGGAUCAACUCCAGUGCAGAUGAAAACCGGAAGCCCUUUCCAGUGGUUUGGCUAAAGAGUGUCCAAUCAGUUUCCAGUCAUUCAAGACUUCUUCAACUUUUGAAAUAAACCUUUC